rnacentral:rRNA from 1 species
AGUGAACGCUGGCGGUAGGCCUAACACAUGCAAGUCGAACGGCAGCACAGUAAGAGCUUGCUCUUACGGGUGGCGAGUGGCGGACGGGUGAGGAAUACAUCGGAGUCUACUUUUUCGUGGGGGAUAACGUAGGGAAACUUACGCUAAUACCGCAUACGACCUACGGGUGAAAGCAGGGGAUCUUCGGACCUUGCGCGAUUGAAUGAGCCGAUGUCGGAUUAGCUAGUUGGCGGGGUAAAGGCCCACCAAGGCGACGAUCCGUAGCUGGUCUGAGAGGAUGAUCAGCCACACUGGAACUGAGACACGGUCCAGACUCCUACGGGAGGCAGCAGUGGGGAAUAUUGGACAAUGGGCGAAAGCCUGAUCCAGCCAUACCGCGUGGGUGAAGAAGGCCUUCGGAUUGUAAAGCCCUUUUGUUGGGAAAGAAAAGCAGCAGGUUAAUACCCCGCUGUUCUGACGGUACCCAAAGAAUAAGCACCGGCUAACUUCGUG